GUGGAGGUGGGGACGCGGGCUCGCAGCCGGGCGAUGAGGAAGGAGGUGGAGGCUCCGGAACGCCUCGUCCCCCGGCUCGGGCUCUGACGUGCCGCUCGGCAGCGGCCCAACGCCGGCUGCGGGCUGCCCCCGGGGCUUCGCCGAGCGACCGUCGGAAAAAGUGCCCCGAGAGCGACUCAGCGCCAGGUGAUUCUCUAAUGGACCAAUGAAAGCCAACAAUGACAAGUUGUGGUCAACAGUCCUUGAAUGUGCUGAUGGUUCUGCUUUCAUUACUCUUGUCAGCAGUGCUGUCCGCACAUUUUCGGGUCUGCGAGCCAUACACAGAUUACAAAGGACGCUACCACUUUGGUUUUCACUGCCCCCGUCUUUCUGACAAUAAAUCUUACAUCUUUUGCUGUCACCAUAACAACACAGUAUUUAAAUACUGCUGCAAUGAGACAGAGUUUCAGACUGUUAUGCAGAUGAACUUAACAGGGAACGCAGAUGGAUAUAUGCAUAACAACUACAGUGCACUGUUAGGGGUGUGGAUCUAUGGCUUUUUUGUGGUGAUCUUGCUGGUACUGGACCUUUUAUAUUACUCUUCAAUGAACUAUGAUAUUUGCAAAUUUUACCUAGCACGGUGGGGAAUCCAGGGAAAGUGGAUGACACAAGGACAGAGCCGAUGGAUUAAUCCUGCUCAGGAUCCAAGCCAAGUACAGACUCAGCCUCAGCCAGAGACACAGCCUCAAACUCAGCCUCAGCCACAGCCUCAGAUGUCACAGACAGUACAUACUCUAAAAGGAGAUGCUUUAAGCCCACCCCUGAUGUCUUUUCAGAGUACAUCUGCCUGUAUGGAAACCAUCUGAGGGCUGUCCUAAGGCCUGUGUGGUCUGAGUCCAGGUCCUGGUGGAUGUACCUCCUGCAGCCCAAACACCGUCACAGACUCAAAAAAGCAGCCUGCAAGUGGCUGGCCGUUGUGGUGGUUCCUUCAGGUCCUUGCUGAGGGAAGGAAACAGGAACACAAGCGGACAACGGACUUGGAACCAAGCACCCCAGAGUCGUUAAUGCUCUGAUUCCUGCUACUUGCCUCAGUACUAUAAUCAUACAAAUAACUUGAAAGGUUCCAUUUUGAAUUUCAUCAUUUUCCUUUAAACAAUUCAAGAUACAAAAGUAUAUUGAUGUGCCUCAGGAUGGGAGAGGUAAGAUCAGACUCCAUGGAGCAGCUUUCAAGGAAACCAACUCAAUGACAAGAGCUUAAAAAAUGGUGGAUAAGCAGCAGGGAGAGAAAAAUGACGGGAUCCAGGUCGACCAAGUCACCUGAAGAGAACCAUCUUUCAGACAACCUCUAUAGGCAAACAACAUAGAAAGAGUUUCCAGAAGAAAGUAGACCGUAAGCAAUAUUUUAAUUUUAGACCAACAGUAUCAUCUUUGAAAGGAAGCAUGAUGUUUGAGAAAGUGCUCAGUAGGAAGAAAAUAAAGUUGCUCUGGCAAAUCCGGACAAAGGUGGAAAAAGAUCACAAGACAAACCUUUGGUAGAUAACUUUUCUUUGCCUCCCCAUCCAUCUAUUGCCAUUUGAGCCUAAUCUAAAUGUCAGAAUACUGAAUGUGAGUUUUUCCAAAGUUCUCUGGUGAUUAUUUUGUCACAGUAGAGUAGAUGCUGGCAGUCCCCAUGUUGUCAUGCAUUACAAGGUAUGUGAAGCCUUCACCACCAAUCAAACUGCAGGGUUGCAAUUGAUUCAGCCUUUGUGCACAUUUUAAGAUCACUGGCAAUGAUUUUGCUAAGAUAUCAAAUACCUGAAUACAUCUCAGCUUCAGCUUCACAUACUUUUCUGAAGUGGGGAGCUUUUAUUAAGAAGCAACAGACACUCCAUUGCUCCCCCAUACUCCUUGAAACUGAAAGAAUAUUAGAAGACAAGUAACAACCUUUAUAUUACAAAAGCAAUAAUAACAUUGUCCCUCUGCUUUACAAGGCAAUAAUCCAAUUCCCUGAGCCACUGACUGGCAUCAGAAUUUAUCCCUCUAAAAUCUAAGGGUUCGUUUGUAAGCCGAAAGGGCAAUGAUGCUGCCACAAAAGCACGUGAAGUACUUGGUCACUAAGUUGUGAUAGCUUGACUUAACUUUCCACAGGACAGGUUUACUUAAAAAAUCACACAAUAUCACACAAGCAAACUGUGUGAAAUGUAAUCAUUUGUUAAAAUCUAUAUAUGGGGAACCUGGCAAUGACAACUAAACAGAGUUCAUCUAGAAACUGAAACACAGUGCCAUGAUAAUACCAAAUUAAUUUUUCCUGCCUAAUCUUUUAUCCUGCAGAUACAAGUAAUUUUAUAAUAAUGACACAUUUUAUUGUAUAACAAGCAUGAAGAACACCUUGACAAUGACUAUAAAGAAGCACCUUGUGAAUAAUUUUUUUUUAUUAUUUUUUUUUAGCCUUUUUGAUUUGAGAGCAUUUUAGUCUUAAGCUGAACUCAAAAGGGAUAGAUUCCUGAAAGAUCUCAGCUAAUUCGUAGUUACUGGAGUGCAUGACAGUAUGCAACUGAACACCCCAGGAACAAUUACUGCUAGGGGAGCCAGCAGGUCUAGAGAGCGCAUGAGUGCCUGGUCUCCAAAGAAGGCCCAAUCUGAAGAGGAUACAGACAUGCUGAAGUCCCUUUGCUUUGCAAUCCAACUAGUAAAAAUAAAAAAAACUGAGUAUCCCUGCAUAAAGGCAAGCAGCAACUAACUAGCAAGAGUUCAAAUGCCUCAGAUAAGUAUGCCACCCUGCAGGCAUUAGGCUCCAUCUUGCUCUAGGUAAGCAGAAGCCUGGCUGCCCUUUCUCUUCACAGAAUGCGUGCGCUUCUUUGCAGCACUUCAAAUAAAAAGCAGUCAGUACUUUUUAAACCUUGUUUUACUCCAAACACAGGAGAACUUAGUUUUUCACAAGAACAUUUUGUUAGCACAUGGCAGAAGCUGGGAACAAAAAGGACCUCCAGCAAACAAGCACAGUAAGUAGCUUGCAGAUAUCAGCACAGCCCCAGUGGCUCUAUCUUGGGAGCCUGGAGCUUCAGCAGGGGAAGGAGCUGAGCUCUGAGUGCUGGCAGAUCUCUCCCAGUGAGGAUGCACAAUGGUGCUAGCAGGGCCACCUUGCAAGGACAGCAAAGGAAGCCAAGUAGCUGCAGACAACACUAUCCCUGCCUCUGAAGGCAUCGUGUCUUCUCCCACUUCCACACUGGCUCCAAGGUUCACAAUCCCUGCAGACAGUCAUCAAAGUACCUAGGCCUACAGCAAUCAGUGUUUUGCAGUAGCUGUUUGCUCCUUUGGCCUUCUGUCAGCAUCUUCUUUCAUUGUGAGGCAAUAGCCACCGCAGAGAGCUUUGUAAAAACUUAUGUUCAUGGAGGAAUUUGUAUUAGAUACUGGUUUGUGUGAAUUACUGUAUUUUGUAGGGGUUUUUUUCCCUCUGGGAAUUGUGCGUUAUUAAUGAGCAGUUUUAUGCUUUACUUCUAGUACCUGUAUACCUUGUAAUUGAUUAGCUGUUUUCUUUGUUUUCCUUCGAUUCUAUAUACAAAGCCAGUUAAUAUAAGGUAGAUACUCUCUGGCUGAAGUUCUGAUUUCGCCUACCAAUUAAUUUAUGGAUAAAUCCACAUCAUAGCUGAUGAUGUUCAUCAAUUGCAUUGCUAUAAUCACCUGAUAGCCUACCUAGUUUAGCAGAAUAAUAAGGUCUUGAAUAAGACUAAUGCUUGCUGGGCCUUAAACUAAAGGGAAACAGUGCACACACGUUUCCCAGCCUCAACUGCUGUCAGCCCUUCUCCCUUACUGAUCUCCUGUACUGACAAGAUAUAGCAGAAGAGCGCUGCUAGACAAAAGGUAGCCUGAACACAACAAACUUCUGUAUAGCAGAGCUCUGAUAGCACCAUGCAUUCACCUGACCUACAUAAUUAUGGUGUACCAAAUGAACUGCAAUGAAUCACUCAAUUAUUUCUGCAGAAAGAGCCUGGUUCAAACAUGAUCUCUCUCUAAAAGAAAAGACCUGGGCUAAAAUAAAUAUAUUUCUCAAUGUCCAUCCUGAUAUAGUUGGGAAAAAAAGUGAUAUAAAAUUAACAAAAGUGCAUAAUUUCAUUGUACACCCUGUACACCAAUGUCAGCUACUUCAGUGGCUGUUAAUUACAUUUGUGCUCCAGAAGCCUCCUUCCUUGUCCAACUCAUCUUCUCUCCUAUGUUUUACUAAGAACUGAGUGUCCAACUUCUUAAUAAUUGCUGUGCGUAACAUAGAACAUAAAAAGAUACAUAAUACAGCUUGUGCAGGACUUGGUGUUGUAAUUAACCAUGUUUUGUGCCUGGUUAUCGAUUGUACAAAAACAGAAAGUGACAACAACCUGGCCUUUUAAUGUAUACAUCAGCAUAUUGUAGCAGCUAUUUUAGAUAACUGUUUUUAAUAGUUUUAUUAUGGUUGUAAUUUCUAUAUGAGAACUGUCCACUUGCAGAAGCGUUGAAGUAAUACAUCAAAGCAAUUUUUAAAGCCAGUUCUAUUUAAUUACCAGUGGUGAUGUAUGAAAAAUGAGGACAACUGAAACAAAACCCAGCCAGCUCCCUGGAAAGAAACAUAUUUUCUCAUCCUUGAAAAUUCUCUUGCAUAAGACAGACAUUUUUUCUAGUCCUCCUUUUACAUAAGUAGUAAAUCACUAAGAAGAUAAUAUAUACAGUAGGAUAGUCCAUUUUAAUAGUCUACAGUCAAAUUUUAGGCUAAUUAAGCUAACUAGAAAUUCUAGGGUUAUAGUGGUUUCUCACUAUUGAUACGCUGAUGAUAACACUGUUUACAUAACACUCAAUGUUUGAAAUCAAUAUGUGCCAGUGUCCAGUGAUUUGCUAAUAUAGUUUUUGAUCUAAACCUGUCCUGUUUUUUGCAGCAUACUUAACUUCAUAUUAUGAAUCAUGUUGUCUUUCUAAAGUGAUUGCCAAGUAAACCAAAAACGUGUUUUACACUGCUAUUGCACUGCUCUUGUCUUUAUAUACAGUAGUUUUUAUAAAGAUGUCCUUAGGUUUUAAUAAAUGAGUGUAAUGUAAACUAUUCUCUGUAAUAAAACUUGCUUUAAUGUUUCAA